GACCCUUCCCAGCCCUGCAGCAUCCCUUGAGCAAAGGGGCAAAAGCUCCUCUCAACUGGGGCAUGCUGGGGGUGCCCGUUGCCAGGCCAGGAGUCCUGCAGCUGGAGUGGAGCCAUGGGGCCACAUUACGCAGUGCAGGGGGGAUUGAUGGCCAUGUGCGGUUUCCCGUGUUUCUCGGAGGACGUGGAUGCCGCUGUGGCUCCAUCUCCCUGGAGGCCCAGCUGGGAGGCAAACGAAGAUUUCAUGAAACAGAUGUGCAGUGCUACUGUGUGUGCCGAUGUCUCCUGCUCAGCCUCAGACCUGGCUGCUGCUCUGAGGGACAUCCAGAUAUAGGAUGAAAAAAUCGCAGCCAAGAACCUGCAGGAACUGAAUGAGUGGUACAAAACCAGAUUUCCUGACUUUAAUCAAGCUUCCACAAAACAUGCUGAGAAUGUGAGACAUUUCAGGGAAGGAACGGGGAAAAGAAGUGUAAGUGGAAUUGAAAACCCCUUCCAGCUUAUGUUAUGUCACUUCUAAUGGAAGCCUUUGUUAUGAUUUCACUAAGUUAGGUAAUGUGACAGUUGUCUGAUAUUUUUCCCAGUAAAGGUGGUCUUUUAGGCUAUAUUCUGCAACGAGGGAGGUGGAUUAGAGGAGUGGUGACUCUGGAUGUGACCCCAUGUCAAACCAGUAGGAAGUAUCCACAAAUAAUGUUUAUACAUAUGAAAUAAAAAUUCAUCUGCUCAGUAGCACGUAUCUGAACAUAAGGAUCCUGUUGUUCUUG